rnacentral:tRNA from 1 species
AAGGAUUUAAGUUAAAAAAACUCUCAACCUUCAAAGUUGAAAAUAUCUUAAUAAUAUAAGCCUUA